UAUAAGUACACGCCUUAACAAGGUGAAACCGCGAACGGCUCAUUACAACAGCUAUAAUCUACUCGGUCUUGAACAGUUACUCGGAUAACUGUGGUAAUUCUAGAGCUAAUACGUGCACCGAGGCUGCUCCUCGCGGGGCAGUGCAUUUGUUGGAGCAAAACCAGGCGGCUUCGGCCGUUUUUGCUGACUCAGAACAACUCAGCUGAUCGCAUGGGCUUGUCCCGGCGACGUACCGUCCGAGUGUCUGCCUUAUCAACUUUCGAUGGUAGUGUACGUGACUACCAUGGUUGUGACGGGUAACGGAGGAUAAGGGUUCGACUCCGGAGAAGGGGCCUGAGAAAUGGCCACUACGUCUAAGGAUGGCAGCAGGCGCGCAAAUUACCCACUCUCGGUUCGAGGAGGUAGUGACGAAAAAUAACAAGGCUGUUCUCUACGAGGCCAGCCAUUGGAAUGGGUACAACACAAACCCUUUAACGAGUAUCAAUGAGAGGGCAAGUCUGGUGCCAGCAGCCGCGGUAAUUCCAGCUCUCAAAAUGCAUAGAACCAUUGCUGCGGUUAAAAAGCUCGUAGUUGGAUCUGUGCCGGCGACGUGGUCCACCCUAACGGGCGGUACUGCGCUCGUCGGCUUUGGGCCGGUCUUCGUGCGGUGGCCUUCACUGGUCGCCGUCCGUGGCUGGCUGGUUUACUUUGAGCAAAUCAGAGUGCUCAGCACAGGCGUUUCGCCGGAAUGUUCGUGCAUGGAAUAAUAGAAAAGGAUUUCGGUCCUCUUUUAUUGGUUUUGUGGACUGAGAUAAUGGUUAACAGAGACGAACGGGGGCAUUCGUAUUGCUGCGUGAGAGGUGAAAUUCUUGGACCGCAGCAGGACGGACUACAGCGAAAGCAUUUGCCAAGCGCGUCUUCAUUAAUCAAGAACGAAAGUCAGAGGUUCGAAGGCGAUCAGAUACCGCCCUAGUUCUGACCGUAAACGAUGCCAACUAGCGAUCCGACGGCGGCUUUCAGGCCCUGUUGGGGAGCUUCCCGGAAACGAAAGUCUUCCGGUUCCGGGGGAAGUAUGGUUGCAAAGCUGAAACUUAAAGGAAUUGACGGAAGGGCACCACCAGGAGUGGAGCCUGCGGCUUAAUUUGACUCAACACGGGAAAACUCACCCGGCCCGGACACCGUGAGGAUUGACAGAUUGAUAGCUUUUUCAUGAUUCGGUGGUUGGUGGUGCAUGGCCGUUCUUAGUUCGUGGAUCGAUUUGUCUGGUUUAUUCCGAUAACGAGCGAGACUCCAGCCUACUAACUAGUGCGGGCGUUGUCUCUGCGCUUGUCACUUCUUAGAGGGAUUGGCUGCGCCUAGCGGCACGAAACGGAGCAAUAACAGGUCUGUGAUGCCCUUAGAUGUCCGGGGCUGCACGCGCGCUACACUGGCAAAGGCAGCGUGCUUGUCCGCCUCCGAAAGGAGCCGGUAAACCCUUGAAAAUUUGCCGUGAUUGGGAUCGGAAAUUGCAAUUAUUUUCCGUGAACGAGGAAUUCCUAGUAAGUGCGAGUCAUCAGCUCGCGUUGAUUACGUCCCUGCCCUUUGUACACACCGCCCGUCGCUGCCUAGAACUGAGCCAUUUCGAGAAUAUUCGGGAUCGCUGGUUGCGGGCCUUUCGGGGCACGCCUCUGGCAAGAGAACGAACGUAAUCGCAGUGGCUUGAACCGGGCAAAAGU
rnacentral:rRNA from 1 species